rnacentral:rRNA from 1 species
UAGGGAAUCUUCCACAAUGGACGCAAGUCUGAUGGAGCAACGCCGCGUGAGUGAAGAAGGUCUUCGGAUCGUAAAGCUCUGUUGUUGGUGAAGAAGGAUAGAGGCAGUAACUGGUCUUUAUUUGACGGUAAUCAACCAGAGAGUCACGGCUAACUACGUGCCAGCAGCCGCGGUAAUACGUAGGUGGCAAGCGUUGUCCGGAUUUAUUGGGCGUAAAGCGAGCGCAGGCGGAAUGAUAAGUCUGAUGUGAAAGCCCACGGCUCAACCGUGGAACUGCAUCGGAAACUGUCAUUCUUGAGUGCAGAAGAGGAGAGUGGAACUCCAUGUGUAGCGGUGGAAUGCGUAGAUAUAUGGAAGAACACCAGUGGCGAAGGCGGCUCUCUGGUCUGCAACUGACGCUGAGGCUCGAAAGCAUGGGUAGCGAACAGGAUUAGAUACCCUUGGUAGUCCAUGCCGUAACGAUGAGCGCUAGGUGUU